rnacentral:lncRNA from 1 species
GGUGUCAUGUGCCAUGUAGCUCCUGAAUCCAUAAGCCAAACAUCAGAAUAUUUCUUUCUGCCUUCAACAACUGUUGUUGCCUCGCUGUAUAAAAUUUCUCUAUCAUCUGAAGUACUUGCUACACAACCCUGAGCUUUUGAUAUCUCAGGACCUUUUCCUUUAACUUCUUCAUUCUUCUUGAGACUCCAACAAUCCCUUUUUAAGUGCCCUUUCUUGCCA